AUUUAAAUAGCUUAUAUUUAGAGCAUAACAUUGAAGAUGUUAGGGAGAUUGUUAAAUUUUUAAAUA